CGCAAUAGUAUCACAAAUUAUGCAUUGAGAGACACCAGUAACAAACUAGCUUUGUCACUACCGCGUACUAAUUACUUGAAAAAUAGCUUUAGUUAUAGCGGUGCAGUACUGUGGAAUUCUCUUCCUACUGAGUUAAGACAGGCUAGUACUUUACAUAAAUUUAAGUCUGACUGUAGCAACUUUAUUCAAUAAUUUUUAAAUAUUUUAUCUAAUUUUAUCAAUUUAAUGCACGGCACUCAUGAAAAACAGGUAGUUUUGUAAAUAUGUAUAGUAUAAUUUAUCAUAUAUCUAAUUUCCUUUGUUACUUUAUCAUAAGUGUGUAAAAUCCUGAUGAGUCCACCGUGACUAAAUAAAGUUCACAAUAAAGUUCACAAU